UGGGGAAUAUUGCACAAUGGAGGGAACUCUGAUGCAGCGACGCCACGUGAACGAAGAAGGCUUUCGAGUCGUAAAGUUCUUUUAUAUGGGAAGAUAAUGACGGUACCAUAAGAAGAAGCCCCGGCUAACUACGUGCCAGCAGCCGCGGUAAUACGUAGGGGGCUAGCGUUGUCCGGAAUCACUGGGCGUAAAGGGUUCGCAGGCGGAAAUGCAAGUCAGGUGUAAAAGGCAGUAGCUUAACUACUGUAAGCAUUUGAAACUGCAUAUCUUGAGAAGAGUAGAGGUAAGUGGAAUUUUUAGUGUAGCGGUGAAAUGCGUAGAUAUUAAAAAGAAUACCGGUGGCGAAGGCGACUUACUGGGCUCAUUCUGACGCUGAGGAACGAAAGCGUGGGUAGCAAACAGG
rnacentral:rRNA from 1 species